GGCUGUGACUCAGUGGAAGAGUCUCUGUUUCGCAUGCAGAAGGUCCCAGGUUCAAUCCCUGGCAUCGCCA